rnacentral:rRNA from 1 species
UACGGAGGGUGCAAGCGUUAAUCGGAAUUACUGGGCGUAAAGCGUGCGCAGGCGGUUCGUUGUGUCGGCGGUGAAAGCCCCGGGCUUAACCUGGGAAUGGCCGUUGAAACUGGCGAACUGGAGUGUGGCAGAGGGGGGUGGAAUUCCGCGUGUAGCAGUGAAAUGCGUAGAGAUGCGGAGGAACACCGAUGGCGAAGGCAGCCCCCUGGGCUAACACUGACGCUCAGGCACGAAAGCGUGGGGAGCAAACAGG